AGUGAACGCUGGCGGUAGGCCUAACACAUGCAAGUCGAACGGCAGCACAGUAAGAGCUUGCUCUUACGGGUGGCGAGUGGCGGACGGGUGAGGAAUACAUCGGAAUCUACUUUUUCGUGGGGGAUAACGUAGGGAAACUUACGCUAAUACCGCAUACGACCUACGGGUGACAGCAGGGGAUCUUCGGACCUUGCGCGAUUGAAUGAGCCGAUGUCGGAUUAGCUAGUUGGCGGGGUAAAGGCCCACCAAGGCGACGAUCCGUAGCUGGUCUGAGAGGAUGAUCAGACACACUGGAACUGAGACACGGUCCAGACUCCUACGGGAGGCAGCAGUGGGGAAUAUUGGACAAUGGGCGGAAGCCUGAUCCAGCCAUACCGCGUGGGUGAAGAAGGCCUUCGGGUUGUAAAGCCCUUUUGUUGGGAAAGAAAAGCAGCAGGUUAAUACCCCGCUGUUCUGACGGUACCCAAAGAAUAAGCACCGGCUAACUUCGUG
rnacentral:rRNA from 1 species